UACGGAGGGGGCAAGCGUUGUUCGGAAUUACUGGGCGUAAAGGGCGCGCAGGCGGCUGCUCAAGUCAGGCGUGAAAGGCCUGGGCUCAACCCGGGAAUUGCGCUUGAGACUGGGCUGGCUUGAGUGCGGGAGAGGAUGGUGGAAUUCCUGGUGUAGCGGUGAAAUGCGCAGAUAUCAGGAGGAACACCGGUGGCGAAGGCGGGUCUCUGGGCCGAUACUGACGCUGAGGAGCGAAAGCGUGGGGAGCGAACAGG
rnacentral:rRNA from 1 species